rnacentral:rRNA from 1 species
UACGUAGGGGGCAAGCAUUAUCCGGAUUUACUGGGUGUAAAGGGAGCGUAGACGGCAGUGCAAGUCUGGAGUGAAAGGCGGGGGCUCAACCCCCGGACUGCUCUGGAAACUGUACGGCUGGAGUGCAGGAGAGGUAAGUGGAAUUCCUAGUGUAGCGGUGAAAUGCGUAGAUAUUAGGAGGAACACCAGUGGCGAAGGCGGCUUACUGGACUGUAACUGACGUUGAGGCUCGAAAGCGUGGGGAGCAAACAGG